rnacentral:lncRNA from 1 species
AAGUAAUAAAAUUUUAAACAAACAAAGUGGGCUAGAGCCCAAACAAAUCAAACCACAACAGCCCAAAUACCAAAUCAUAACAAAUCCAUCAAACAAAGGAACAAGGCUUUUACUUGACUGGGCUCCGGUGAUGACCCAAGAAGACCGGUCUGCUCAAGAACGCCCCAAGCUUGCCUCUUCAACCUAAUACGCUUCACCCAAAAUGCACCGUUGGGUGCUAGUGCAGCAGCUGCUCUUCUUCUCAAAGCUACGUCGUUUGGACUACAACCCCUUUUUACCCAAAAUGACACUGUUUCACGCUAACCUUAAAUAUAAAAGCAUUCUUUUCUAUCCUCUCUCCCCAUUUUCCUUCUUCCAUUUCUCUUUCUAGUCGAUUUCCUCUUACUUCUCUCUAAUCCCACAAGUCGCGACCUUCAUUCUCCUCCCUCACUCUUUCCCUCACCGACGAUCGAAAGAUCAAACACAAACCCCUUUAAAUCUCUCUCUCCUUGCCGAUUAUCAGAAGACUGAACCAAGAAAACCCUUAAACCUUCUUGAUUUGAAAAACCAGAACCUGAAACCUAAAUUUUGCUACCUUUCCCCAUUUUUGUUUUUUUUUUUUGUUUCUAUUUUCUCUCUUUU